GAAUUCGCCCUUAGAGUUUGAUCCUGGCUCAGGAUGAACGCUGGCGGCGCGCCUAACACAUGCAAGUCGAACGGCACCUAUCUUCGGAUAGAAGCGAGUGGCGAACGGCUGAGUAACACGUGGAGAACCUGCCCCCUCCCCCGGGAUAGCCGCCCGAAAGGACGGGUAAUACCGGAUACCCCCGGGCGCCGCAUGGCGCCCGGGCUAAAGCCCCGACGGGAGGGGAUGGCUCCGCGGCCCAUCAGGUAGACGGCGGGGUGACGGCCCACCGUGCCGACAACGGGUAGCCGGGUUGAGAGACCGACCGGCCAGAUUGGGACUGAGACACGGCCCAGACUCCUACGGGAGGCAGCAGUGGGGGAUAUUGCACAAUGGGGGAAACCCUGAUGCAGCGACGCCGCGUGGAGGAAGAAGGUUUUCGGAUUGUAAACUCCUGUCGUUAGGGACGAUAAUGACGGUACCUAACAAGAAAGCACCGGCUAACUACGUGCCAGCAGCCGCGGUAAAACGUAGGGUGCAAGCGUUGUCCGGAAUUACUGGGUGUAAAGGGAGCGCAGGCGGGAAGACAAGUUGGAAGUGAAAACCAUGGGCUCAACCCAUGAAUUGCUUUCAAAACUGUUUUUCUUGAGUAGUGCAGAGGUAGAUGGAAUUCCCGGUGUAGCGGUGGAAUGCGUAGAUAUCGGGAGGAACACCAGUGGCGAAGGCGGUCUACUGGGCACCAACUGACGCUGAGGCUCGAAAGCAUGGGUAGCAAACAGGAUUAGAUACCCUGGUAGUCCAUGCCGUAAACGAUGAUUACUAGGUGGUUGGGGGAUUUGACCCCCUCCGGGCCGCCGGUAUAAACAAUAAGUAAUCCCACGCUGGGGAGUAAGACCGCAAGGUGUAAACUCAAGGAAAUUGACGGGGGCCCGCACAAGCAGUGGAGUAUGGGGUUUAAUUCGAAGCAACGCGAAGAACCUUACCAGGUCUUGACAUCCGAUGCAUAACACAGAGAUGUGUGAAAUCAUUCGGGACAUCCCGACAGAGGGUGCAUGGUUGUCGUCAGCUCGUGUCGUGAGAUGUUGGGUUAAGUCCCGCAACGAGCGCAACCCUUAUUGCCAGUUACUACGUUAAGAGGACUCUGGCGAGACUGCCGUUGACAAAACGGAGGAAGGUGGGGAUGACGUCAAAUCAUCAUGCCCUUUAUGACCUGGGCUACACACGUACUACAAUGGCGUUAAACAAAGAGAAGCAAGACCGCGAGGUGGAGCAAAACUCAAAAACAACGUCUCAGUUCAGAUUGCAGGCUGCAACUCGCCUGCAUGAAGUCGGAAUUGCUAGUAAUCGCGGAUCAGCAUGCCGCGGUGAAUACGUUCCCGGGCCUUGCACUCACCGCCCGUCA
rnacentral:rRNA from 1 species